UAGGGAAUCUUCCGCAAUGGACGCAAGUCUGACGGAGCAACGCCGCGUGAGUGAAGAAGGAUUUCGGUUCGUAAAACUCUUUUGUUAGAGAAGAACAGCGCAUAGAGUAACUGUUAUGCGUGUGACGGUAUCUACCCAGAAAGCCACGGCUAACUACGUGCCAGCAGCCGCGGUAAUACGUAGGUGGCAAGCGUUGUCCGGAUUUAUUGGGCGUAAAGCGAGCGCAGGCGGUCAAUUAAGUCGGAUGUGAAAGCCCCCGGCUCAACCGGGGAGGGUCAUUGGAAACUGGUUGACUUGAGUGCAGAAGAGGGGAGUGGAAUUCCAGGGGUAGCGGGGAAAUGCGUAGAUAUAUGGAGGAACACCAGUGGCGAAGGCGACUCUAUGGGCUGGAACUGACGCUGAGGCUCGAAAGCGUGGGUAGCAAAAAGG
rnacentral:rRNA from 1 species